ACUCUGCUGCAGUGCAGAUAGGAGCAGGAGGAGAGGUAGCCUGUCUGCUGGUUACAACACUUUCUUCUUUCAAUAACCACAAUACUGCAGUACAAUGGGGAUUUUAACAGCUCUCUGUAUAAUAAUGACAGCUCUAUCAAGUGUCCGGUCUGAUGUAGUGUUGACUGAGUCCGGACCAGCAGUUAUAAAGCCUGGAGAGUCCCAUAAACUGUCCUGUCCUCUGGAUUCACAUUCAGCAGCUACUACAUGAGCUGGGUUCGGCAAGCUCCUGGAAAGGGUCUGGAAUGGGUGGCUUAUGUUUAUAGCAGCAGCACAUCCUAUGCCCCGUCUGUUCAGGGAAGAUUCACCAUCUCCAGAGACGAUUCCAACAGCAUGCUGUAUUUACAAAUGAACAGCCUGAAGACUGAAGACACUGCCGUGUAUUACUGUGCUCGAGAGCCACAGUGAUGAAGUGCAAUGCAGGACUCGUACAAAAACUAUUCCAUUAGAUACAUGUGCAUAGAAAGAGGAAGUGUGACUGGUAACUGGUAUUCUGGUCUCUACAUGCUCCUGAUGAAUUCACACUGUGAUAAAUGUGUUUCAUGAAAAUAAAAUGAAGAGAGACGCUGUUCUGCUUUGAUACUUACCCUAAUAUUGAAUUAAAAUGUCACUGCUGUAUUUAUUUUGAAGUGAUAAUCAAUAUGUAUAAUUCCACUAUUGUAACAGAAAUGGGAAUUUUCACAGGGAACGACAUAUUACACAACAAUGGGAACGUUUCACUGAAAUCAUGAAAACUGUGAUAACCAUGAAAAAAAUACAGCCUUACUUAUAUGGUACUGUGAAAGAGUGGGGCGGUCUGCUGUGAGAGAAACAGAGAGACGGAGCGACAGAGAUACAGGACCUGUGUGAUGAAGGGCCUUAUAGGCCAGCAGGAGAAUUUUAAAAGUAAUCCUGAACUUUACAGGGAGCCAGUGCAGCUGGGAAGAUUGGGGUGAUGUGAUCAUGUAUUUUCCACCUGAUAAGGAUCCCAGCAACGGCACGGGCAGCAGUGUGGAGUAGUGGUUAGGGCUCUGGACUCCUUACUGGAGGGUCGUGGGUUCAAUCCCAGGUUGGGGACACUGCUGCUGUACUCUUAAGCAAGGUACUUUACCUAGAUUGCUCCAAUAAAAACCCCACUGUAUAAAUGGGUAAUUGUAUGUAAGAAUAACAUGAUAUCUUGUAACAAUUGUAAGUUACCCUGGAUAAGGGCAUCUGCUAAGAAAUUAAUAAAUAAUAAUAUGUAUCUUU